UAUUUUAUGAUUCAUAAAAAUUCAAAUAGUUUUAGUAAAAAUUAAAAAAAAAUGAUGUGACAAAUAGAGAAUUUAUAAUUUUUGGAUGGUGUAGGUGUAAGAUGUAUACCGCACUUUAGAGUGUACUGAUAAUAUUGCUCUAUUAUUUAGGAUAAAUUAUACGAGUAAUGCUUCAAUACACCAUAUAAAUCUUAACCAUUUAUUUUUUUAAAUAGAUGGUUCAGAUGUAAUAUGAUUCUAGAGGCGACCUACUAUUCAGGCAUAGAUACCAUUCAACAGGUACCUAUUUAAAUGGU
rnacentral:lncRNA from 1 species